rnacentral:lncRNA from 1 species
UGCCACGGUGGUUUACUACACAGAUCAUCCCAUUACCCAGAUUCGAUCGUGUCCAAAAUAUUCAGUGAAAGAUCAUCUUCUGUUCAGAAUGUUCAAUGAGAGAUCACCUCACUCAGAAUGAAAGCCAAAGUUCUUACCAGCAGCUAACAUGGCCUUCGUUUAUUUCCCAGUCAUCUUUUCCUCCUGACUCUCCUCAGACUUUCACUCCAGACACGUGAGCCCUUCUGUUCCUUGCUUUAGGUAAGCUCCCUCCUUAGGGUCUUUGCACCUGCUCUUUCCUUAUCUAGAAUAUUUUCCCCCUAAUAUCUACAUGACUCACUCCUUACUUUCUUCAGAGUUUGACUCAAAAGUCACCUACUCAGUUCAAAAUUUGAAUAUUCUCCUUACUCAAUACUUUAAUUUUAUUUCCCUACUUUAUCUUGUCCUAAUAGUGCUGAUUUCAAGUCUGGUAUUCAGCAAGUAAAAUGAACUUCCAUUCUGUGUAGCUGGGUGUCUAUUCGGAUGGGUUGGUAUCCAUUUGUACUGGUUGGGUCAUGGGUCACUUAACACUGGGGAUACAUUCUGAUAAAUGUGUUGUUAGCUGAUUACAUCAUUGUGCAAACAUCAUAGAGUGUCCUUACAAAAACUUACUAAUUAUAGCCUACCAGUGUAGCUAUAUGGUAUAGCCUACUACCCACCUAGGCUAUAUGGUAUAGCUUAUUACUCCUAGGCAACAAACCUGUACAGCAUGCUGCUGUGUUGAAUACUGUACACCAUUGUAAUACAAUGGCAUGUGUGUAUCUAGACAUAUCUAAACAUAGAAAAGGUAAAGUAAAAAUAUGCUAGUAUGCUCUUACAGGACCACUGCUGUAUAUGCAGUCCAUGGUUGACCAUGGACCAUUGUUACACAAAGCAUGACUCUAUUUUAAAUCUCACCUCUGCUCGUCACUAUCUAAUAUACCCGA